rnacentral:rRNA from 1 species
CCUACGUGAGGCUGCAGUGAGGAAUAUUGGUCAAUGGGCGCGAGCCUGAACCAGCCAAGUAGCGUGAAGGAUGACUGCCCUACGGGUUGUAAACUUCUUUUAUAAAGGAAUAAAGUGAGGCACGUGUGCCUUUUUGUAUGUACUUUAUGAAUAAGGAUCGGCUAACUCCGUGCCAGCAGCCGCGGUAAUACGGAGGAUCUGAGCGUUAUCCGGAUUUAUUGGGUUUAAAGGGAGCGUAGAUGGGUUGUUAAGUCAGUUGUGAAAGUUUGCGGCUCAACCGUAAAAUUGCAAUUGAUACUGGCAGUCUUGAGUACAGUUGAGGUAGGUGGAAUUCGUGGUGUAGCGGUGAAAUGCUUAGAUAUCACGAAGAACUCCGAUUGCGAAGGCAGCUUACUAAACUGCCACUGACAUUGAUGCUCGAAAGUGUGGGUAUCAAACAGGAUUAGAUACCCCUGUAGUC